rnacentral:rRNA from 1 species
GGAGUAACAUCCCCGGAUCAAAGGUGUGAUUCCGCCUGAGGAUGAGUCCGCGUCCUAUUAGCUUGUUGGUGGGGUAAUGGCCUACCAAGGCUGUGAUGGGUACCGGGUGUGAGAGCAUGGCCCGGCUCACUGGGACUGAGACACAGCCCAGACACCUACGGGUGGCUGCAGUCGAGAAUCUUCGGCAAUGGGCGCAAGCCUGACCGAGCGACGCCGCGUGCGGGAUGAAGGCCUUCGGGUUGUAAACCGCUGUCAGUUGGGAGGAAAUCCCACGGGGUUCUCCCCGCGGGUUGACCGAUCUUCAGAGGAAGUACGGGCUAAGUUCGUG